rnacentral:tRNA from 2 species
GCCGGGGUAGCUCAGUUGGUAGAGCACGGGUCUGAAAAACCCGGUGUCCGCAGUUCGAUUCUGCGCCCCGGCA